AAUCCGGUUUUGGUAGGGUAUUAGAGAAUAGAGCCUAGACCAGCCUGGAGGUGAGGAAUGUCCGAACACCUAGGCCAGAUCUUUAUCUUGAUUGUAAAGACAAUGUUGCUCGACCAGCUGGAGGU
ensembl:misc_RNA